CUACGGGAUGCUCCAGUCGAGAAUAGUCUACAAUGGACGAAAGUCUGAUAGUGCGACGCCGCGUGGAUGAAGAAGCAUUUCGGUGUGUAAAGUCCUUUUCCGUGUGAGCAAUGUUUUCCAGGUUAAUAGCUUGGAGAAAGCGAUAUUAACACAGGAAUAAGCUCCGGCUAACUCCGUGCCAGCAGCCGCGGUAACACGGGGGGAGCAAGCGUUGUCCGGAAUUACUAGGCGUAAAGGGUAAGUAGGCGGAAUUGUAAGUCAGAUGUUAAAGGCACCGGCUCAACCGGUGUGUGGCAUUUGAUACUGUAAUUCUAGAGUAAGGUGGGGGAAGACGGAAUUCCUGGUGUAGCGGUGGAAUGCGCAGAUAUCAGGAGGAACACCAGAGGCGCAGGCGGUCUUCUAUACCAUUACUGACGCUCAAUUACGAAGGUGUGGGUAUCAAACAGGAUUAGAUACCCCAGUAGUC
rnacentral:rRNA from 1 species